GAUGAACGCUGACAGAAUGCUUAACACAUGCAAGUCUACUUGAACUUCGGUUUGGGUGGCGGACGGGUGAGUAACGCGUAAAGAACUUGCCUCACAGUUAGGGACAACAUUUGGAAACGAAUGCUAAUACCUGAUAUUAUGAUUUUAGGGCAUCCUAGGAUUAUGAAAGCUAUAUGUGCUGUGAGAGAGCGUUGCGUCCCAUUAGCUAGUUGGAGAGGUAACGGCUCACCAAGGCGAUGAUGGGUAGCCGGCCUGAGAGGGUGAACGGCCACAAGGGGACUGAGACACGGCCCUUACUCCUACGGGAGGCAGCAGUGGGGAAUAUUGGACAAUGGACCAAAAGUCUGAUCCAGCAAUUCUGUGUGCACGAUGACGUUUUUCGGAAUGUAAAGUGCUUUCAGUUGGGAAGAAAAAAAUGACGGUACCAACAGAAGAAAUGACGGCUAAAUACGUG
rnacentral:rRNA from 1 species